rnacentral:rRNA from 1 species
AGCAGCCGCGGUAAUUCCAGCUCCAAUAGCGUAUAUUAAGGUUGCUGCGGUUAAAAAGCUCGUAGUUGAAUUUCGGGAUUGACACAUCGGUCGUGCCUUAAGGGGUAUGAACUGGCGUAGCCAAUUCCUCACCUUCUGGUGAAUUGUGAUGCCUCUUUAACUGGGUGUUUCAAUGAACUAGGACUUUUACUUUGAAAAAAUUAGAGUGUUUAAAGCAGGCAUUAUUUGCUUGAAUACAUUAGCAUGGAAUAAUAAAAUAGGACGGAUGAUUCUAUUUUGUUGGUUUCUAGGAUCACUGUAAUGAUUAAUAGGGAUAGUUGGGGGCAUUAGUAUUCAAUUGUCAGAGGUGAAAUUCUUGGAUUAAUUGAAGACUAACUACUGCGAAAGCAUUUGCCAAGGAUGUUUUCAUUAAUCAAGAACGAAAGUUAGGGGAUCGAAGACGAUUAGGUACGUCGUAGUCUUAACCAUAAACUAUGCCGACUAGGAAUCAGACAACGUUAAAUUUUUAAUGACUUGUUUGGCACCUUACG